GUCACUUCCCGAUGAAUUGAACGUUAUUAAUUGACAGUUGACUUCCGAUCGAUCAAAAUAUUUUCGAAUAUGAAAAAUGAUUUCUAUUAGUGGAAAAUGCCGAAUCAAGUGGAUCAAUCCAAUGCAGCAUGACAACAUAGUAAGUUGCUUUCCUUUGGUUUACUGAAGAAUGCUUUAACUUUGAAAUUUCUAACCUUAAUUACGUUUGUUUACAAUGUAUCUACCAUAAGUUUACGAAUUAAAUUGGGAUUGCGAUGGCUACCCUAUUUUCAAAAUACGACCAGUGAUUCCGAGACAUGCAAUUUGGAUUAGAAACCUCAUGUCGCCCUGAAAUUGAGCAAAACCAAUUGUUAUUUAUUAGGAUGAACACCUAACUGAAUUUAAGUGUUUUACUGGCGCAUGCACCAUUUGUGCUCAGAAGGGCCGGAAGUAAGGACGAGAUGUGCGCUGGAAUAUAGAGGAACUGAAACUAAUUACCUUUCAUAUCUGUGUGUAUGCCUAUUAUUUGGUAUCUGUUAAAAUUAUAUUAAUUAAUAUUGUGGAUUAAACUUAGGUAUUCAAAUAGCAAUUUUCUGAUUUGAGGUAAAUCUAGCCUGUAAGAAAUGCCAAAUUUGG